rnacentral:rRNA from 1 species
GGACCCGCACAAGCAGUGGAGCAUGUGGUUUAAUUCGAAGAUACGCGCAGAACCUUACCAACACUUGACAUGUUCGUCGCGAGACUAAGAGAUUAGUCUUUUCAGUUAGGCUGGACGAAACACAGGUGCUGCAUGGCUGUCGUCAGCUCGUGUCGUGAGAUGUUGGGUUAAGUCCCGCAACGAGCGCAACCCCGUACUUUUAGUUGCCACCAUUUAGUUGGGCACUUUAAAAGAACUGCCAGUGAUAAGCUGGGAGGAAGGUGGGGGAUGACGUCAAGUCCUCAUGGCCCUUACGUGUUGGGCUACACACGUGCUACAAUGGUAUCUACAACAGGAAGCAAGACUGCGAAGUUAAG